UACGUAGGUGGCAAGCGUUGUUCGGAAUUAUUGGGCGUAAAGGGCGCGUAGGCGGUUUGUUAAGUUAGCUGUGAAAGCCCGGGGCUCAACCCCGGAGGGUCGGCUGAUACUGGCAGGCUAGAGUACGGAAGAGGUAGCUGGAAUUCCCGGUGUAGCGGUGAAAUGCGUAGAUAUCAGGAAGAACACCCGUGGCGAAGGCGGCUCUCUGGGACGGUACUGACGCUGAGACGCGAAAGCGUGGGGAGCGAACAGG
rnacentral:rRNA from 1 species